rnacentral:rRNA from 1 species
AGUGAACGCUGGCGGUAGGCCUAACACAUGCAAGUCGAACGGCAGCACAGGAGAGCUUGCUCUCUGGGUGGCGAGUGGCGGACGGGUGAGGAAUACAUCGGAAUCUACUCUGUCGUGGGGGAUAACGUAGGGAAACUUACGCUAAUACCGCAUACGACCUACGGGUGAAAGCAGGGGACCUUCGGGCCUUGCGCGAUUGAAUGAGCCGAUGUCGGAUUAGCUAGUUGGCGGGGUAAAGGCCCACCAAGGGGACGAUCGGUAGCUGGUCUGAGAGGAUGAUAAGCCACACUGGAACUGAGACACGGUCCAGACUCCUACGGGAGGCAGCAGUGGGGAAUAUUGGACAAUGGGCGCAAGCCUGAUCCAGCCAUACCGCGUGGGUGAAGAAGGCCUUCGGGUUGUAAAGCCCUUUUGUUGGGAAAGAAAUCCAGCUGGCUAAUACCCGGUUGGGAUGACGGUACCCAAAGAAUAAGCACCGGCUAACUUCGUGCCAGCAGCCGCCGUAA